AAUAACACCAAUAGCACCCUGAAUGCAGCUGAUCUUGUCUGAAUUUGGAAACUAAGCAGGCUUGGUUGGUACUUGAGUGGGACAUCACUAGGACAUACCAUGGAUCU
rnacentral:rRNA from 1 species